rnacentral:rRNA from 1 species
CUAAUACAUGCAAGUCGAGCGAGCGGAACCAACAGAUUUACUUCGGUAAUGACGUUGGGAGAGCGAGCGGCGGAUGGGUGAGUAACACGUGGGGAACCUGCCCCUAAGUCUGGGAUACCAUUUGGAAACAGGUGCUAAUACCGGAUAAUAAAGCAGAUCGCAUGAUCAGCUUUUGAAAGGCGGCGUAAGCUGUCGCUAAGGGAUGGCCCCGCGGUGCAUUAGCUAGUUGGUAAGGUAACGGCUUACCAAGGCGACGAUGCAUAGCCGAGUUGAGAGACUGAUCGGCCACAUUGGGACUGAGACACGGCCCAAACUCCUACGGGAGGCAGCAGUAGGGAAUCUUCCACAAUGGACGCAAGUCUGAUGGAGCAACGCCGCGUGAGUGAAGAAGGUUUUCGGAUCGUAAAGCUCUGUUGUUGGUGAAGAAGGAUAGAGGUAGUAACUGGCCUUUAUUUGACGGUAAUCAACCAGAAAGUCACGGCUAACUACGUGCCAGCAGCCGCGGUAAUACGUAGGUGGCAAGCGUUGUCCGGAUUUAUUGGGCGUAAAGCGAGCGCAGGCGGAAAAAUAAGUCUAAUGUGAAAGCCCUCGGCUUAACCGAGGAACUGCAUCGGAAACUGUUUUUCUUGAGUGCAGAAGAGGAGAGUGGACUCCAUGUGUAGCGGUGGAUGCGUAGAUAUAUGGAAGACACCAGUGGCGAAG